rnacentral:rRNA from 1 species
AGGGAAUCUUCCACAAUGGGCGAAAGCCUGAUGGAGCAACGCCGCGUGAGCGAAGAAGGUCUUCGGAUCGUAAAGCUCUGUUGUAAGGGAAGAACAAGUGCAGCAGUAACUGGCUGCACCCUGACGGUACCUUACGAGAAAGCCACGGCUAACUACGUGCCAGCAGCCGCGGUAAUACGUAGGUGGCGAGCGUUGUCCGGAAUUAUUGGGCGUAAAGCGCGCGCAGGCGGUCUCUUAAGUCUGAUGUGAAAGCCCCCGGCUCAACCGGGGAGGGUCAUUGGAAACUGGGAGACUUGAGUGCAGGAGAGGGAAGCGGAAUUCCAUGUGUAGCGGUGAAAUGCGUAGAGAUAUGGAGGAACACCAGUGGCGAAGGCGGCUUCCUGGCCUGUAACUGACGCUGAGGCGCGAAAGCGUGGGGAGCAAAC